UGUGGGUCGAAGAGCUGCAUAGGUGUGUGCGGGUGGUUUUGACAAAUUGACGAUCGUCCUCGUGUGGAGUGCGUAUGAUUUGUGGGGAAUAACAUCUUGGAUACUGUUAGUGAGCUGCUGUGUAUUGUUGUGCCUCUCCUCCUAUGAAGUGGUUGGCUUCUACCGGCUAGCAAUAUCAAUGAUAUUAAUUCAAGUUGUUGUGCACCUGUCCCUUUUCCUGUAAGGAAGUGAUUGGCUUUACAGUUUAGCACUGCGCCUGAUUUUCCUCCAUGAGGUGGUUGCCUGCUACAGUUUAGUCCAUUAUAUGGGCUGAG